CAGCCGUAAACAAUGUGCGUUAGGUGUGUCGGUAACCACGCGUUACUGAUGCGCCGAAGAGAAAUCGUGAAACGCACCACCUGGGAAGUACGGUCGCAAGGCUGAAACUUAAAGGAAUUGGCGGGGGAGCACCACAACAGGUGGAGCCUGCGGUUUAAUUGGAUUCAACGCCGGACAUCUCACCGGAUAAGACAGCUGAAUGAUUGUCAAUCUGAAGACUCUGCAUGACUAGCUGAGAGGUGGUGCAUGGCGUAGACGUCCU
rnacentral:rRNA from 1 species